rnacentral:misc_RNA from 1 species
AACGCACCUUGCGCUCUGUGGUUAUUCCGCAGAGCAUGUUUGUUUGAGUGUCGCGAUACUUCUCAACCCCGCUUCGUUAACUUGAAGUAGUUUGGGCUUGGAUCUUGGUUGUUGCCGGUCUUCACCAGGCUCAAUUGAAAUAAAACAAGCUGGAUGUACCUCUCUGCGGCUUGAACCUAACGUUGUAAUUACUUAUCGUUAGGCUACGCUUUGAGAAAUCAAGGAGCUUAUCAAUUUUUGUUGAACUUCUGUUCAAUUUGACCUCAAAUCAAGCAGGACUACCCGCUGAACUUAA